GCUUGUGGAGAGCAAUGCAUCUAGAGAAAGGUAUUCCACAGUUCUGACACGGAGCUUGUGGAGAGCAAUGCAUCAAGAGAAAGGUAUUCUACAGUUCUGACACGGAGCUUGUGGAGAGCAAUGCAUCUAGAGAAAGGUAUUCUACAGUUCUGACACGGAGCCAGCUUGUGGAGAGCAAUGCAUCUAGAGAAAAGUAUUCCACAGUUCUGACACGGAGCUUGUGGAGAGCAAUGCAUCUAGAGGAAGGUAUUCCACAGUUCUGACACGGAGCUUGUGGAGAGCAAUGCAUCUAGAGAAAGGUAUUCCACAGUUCUGACACGGAGCUUGUGGAGAGCAAUGCAUCUAGAGAAAGGUAUUCCACAGUUCUGACACGGAGCUUGUGGAGAGCAAUGCAUCUAGAGAAAGCACAUUUUCAUUCAAGGGAAACACAUCAGCAGAAUAGAAUCAAACUGAAUGUAACAGAGAUACUGGGAUUUGAAGCAGGUGGUGAGUUUAAUAACACAAUGAACGAUACAAAACAAGAGUGGCAUCUGGACAUGAAACACCAUCAAUACUGCCUGGGGGAUGAACCUAAGGGAGUGACAGAUAUAGGGGAGGUAAUCCGUGAAGUGAUGGAGUCCAGGUGAGUCUCAUAACGAUGGUGCCAGGUGUGCGUAAUGAUGGUUGUCAGAACCAGUGAUUAGUAAACCGGCGAUGGCGAGCACUGAAGAGGGAGUAGACAUGACACCCCCCCUCUGGAAGGAGUAGGCGCUCUUUGCCUUCCGGUGGAUGAUACCGAAGAUACCUCUGGACGGAGCCAUGAACCCCUCAUACGAAGCCAGCACCUCCUCGUCGCUCUCCCAGACGGCCGUAGCCCACUCCAACACCCACCCAGUCAGCAGAGAAAUAACCGUGGCUCCCAUCUGCGAGCAAAAUAGAGGGAGCACUGGAGUAGGAAGCCACGGAAUUUAAAUGGGGUUCCGUCAUAUUUGUCCAGGAGGGACAGAUGGCAUCGCUAACCUGGCCAGGCUGCUGAAUGGACUGGUGUGCUGGCUCGACUGGUGUUAGAGUAUCCUCCCCUAGUUGAAGGCAACAUCUCUCGGGUAUGUUCGAGAUGUUGAAGACUGCGAAGAACCUCUUCCAUAGCCAUCCCCAGUUGCACCAGCUGGUCGUGUUGUUGACGACCACGUUCGUCGACUGGGAGAUGUCCUGAUUUCCUGCUGCUUCCAUUUGUUGAGGCAUUAUUCUGUAACAGAGAUGCUGGGAAGAAGAAGGUGGUGAGCUUAAUAACACAAUGACCAUGGAACAAUACAAAACAAGAGUAGCGUCUGAACCUGAAACACAUAAUCAAUACUGCCUGGGGAAUGAACCUAAGGGAGUGACAAGUAUAGGGGAGGUAAUCAGUGAAGUGACGGAGUCCAGAGUCUGUCCUCACAGAAUGCUGACACCACACGUUGAAGCAUCAGGGAGAUCAUUUUGAUUUUGUUGGUGACGUCGGGUCUGGGUGACACCGCCAAUGGAACCGGGGGUGCCUCAGCUGGCUCGUCCGGCUUUCGAGCCUUAAAGAAGGUAGUGGCCAUGUUGAUAAUUCCUCCAAUGGAGUGUCACUGCUACUGGAGGUGGAAGAUGUGGUCUACAUGCAUCUCAGGGCUGGGAAUCAGAUAAAUGAUCAUGGAAAUCGCCACAGCACUUUUAGUGGUCACCUACUCUUCACCAGAAGAUAAUUGAAGGACUUUUUGACACAGUUUGAAACAGUUAAUAUGUAUUUCAUCUUAAAAACAAAUUGAUUUAAUUCUGACAAUAUGGAUGAAAAGAACAUCAUAAUCUGUACGGCCUGUAAGCAAUAAACCAAAUGUUUAUGGAAUGAACUG